AAGUCUGUUUAGAAGAAACUUAAUCAAACUAGCAUCAUGUUGGUUGUUUAUCACUUUUCAUGAUGC
rnacentral:tmRNA from 2 species